rnacentral:rRNA from 1 species
AGUGAACGCUGGCGGUAGGCCUAACACAUGCAAGUCGAACGGCAGCACAGUAAGAGCUUGCUCUUACGGGUGGCGAGUGUCGGACGGGUGAGGAAUACAUCGGAAUCUACUUUUUCGUGGGGGAUAACGUAGGGAAACUUACGCUAAUACCGCAUACGACCUACGGGUGAAAGCAGGGGAUCUUCGGACCUUGCGCGAUUGAAUGAGCCGAUGUCGGAUUAGCUAGUUGGCGGGGUAAAGGCCCACCAAGGCGACGAUCCGUAGCUGGUCUGAGAGGAUGAUCAGCCACACUGGAACUGAGACACGGUCCAGACUCCUACGGGAGGCAGCAGUGGGGAAUAUUGGACAAAGGGCGCAAGCCUGAUCCAGCCAUACCGCGUGGGUGAAGAAGGCCUUCGGGUUGUAAAGCCCUUUUGUUGGGAAAGAAAAGCAGCAGGUUAAUACCCCGCUGUUCUGACGGUACCCAAAGAAUAAGCACCGGCUAACUUCGUG